UUCCCCCCUCCCUCACUUCGAAUGGACCCAAAAAUCAACCAAACCCAAGAACACCUUCUUCCUUCUCGCCAUUUCCUCUGAAAAUGGUUGAUUUCUUGCUUGAAUUCUCCUAUAGUUGAGCAACCUUCUUCCUCAUUCAAUCCACUGAUUUUCGAGUGCAAUUCCAUCAUUUUGUUCCAUUUAUUUGUGGAUUUUUAGUCUUCCAUUGAAAACCUAAUUCCCGUCCAUACGUGUAAAUCCUAGUCUUUAAUCCUCCCUCUGAUUCUUCUCUAUAGAUCAAACAACAAAUCAGCUAAUCUUCGAACCAACUCAGAACCAGAAUCGUGCGAUUCUUGGCCUCAAACAGCCGGCAGACAGCAGCGCACAACCGCUCCGCCCCGGUGACGAACCUUAAAUCGCAGUCUUCCUCCUUCUUGCCUUCGAUUUUGAGGGAACGAAACAGGAGGCGACAUCUUCGAGGAACCUUUCUAGUGAUCACGGAGAACCAUAUUUAGUUCUUUAAAGCAUCUUUGAUUGUUUACAGAUCGGAACCGGUCGGGAACGAUAGGUUAGCGAUGAUGAUUAGAGUUUCAUAUAUGUUAUAUUGAGCUGAGCACGUGAGAAUUUGUAGUUUUGAAUUAGGCUUUUGUAAAUGUAUAUUAGACUAGACCGUACCGGUUAUGUUGGACAUUUAUAGUGACUUUUAUGAUUAUUUUAUGUUUUAGAUAGAUGUUUGGAUUGAGAACUAGUUGAUUUAGCUAUGUUUUAGAACUAAUGACCCCUUUGCACAAGUUUUGGAAUUGAGAUUUGAGUUUCUUGGGAAAUAAACCCCGUGAUGACUUUGUUUAUUCAGUCAACGGUAAGUUGGGUUGUUACAAAACCGGUAGUGGGUAACCAAAUAACAGCACAAGCCAAGUGAAAUAAUAAUUGGAAUUAUUUAUGGUUAAUUGAUAGUCGGGAUUAUUGUAGAAAAAUUGUGAAUAGAUUGAAUUAUUAUGGAUAAAUUUUCUUUUAAUAAUUGGUGAAAUUUCUUUAUGCUUGAUGUGGUUAGUAAUAUUGAUGAUUUUUUUGUACUACAAGAUUUUGUAGAUUGCUUUCGUAAGUAUAUAAUGACUUUAAAUUAUUAACUAUUCAAAUUAAAGGGAAAAUCAAACUUUAAAAAGUCAAAUGGUGAAAACAUGAAAAACCUGCAAUUGAAUUGAUGUUGGUAUAGAUUGUUAUUUCAAUCCUCAUUUUCCCACCAUUUUCAUUUUGAAAAUCAAACUUUAACAAACCAUUAAAAAUAUGAGAGAGAUAGUGCAAAAAUUUGAGAGCAGUUUCAGAAAUCUAAACUCUAAAGCAUUUUGUCUUGGUCUUCUCCUG